CCGAGGUGUACAAAAUAGCACCUAGUAGCAAUCAAACUGCCUGCUAUCAGCAGGCCUGAGUGGAUGUUGAUCAGCAUGGGAUAACUCAGGAAAACUGGGAAAUUGUUGUUGAGUUGAAUGAAGGAAAACCAGAAUCUGAUGUUCGCCUUGGCAGCUUUGAGCAGAGGUUGCUAUUGACAACAAACUGGAGCUCCUGGGAUUAUUUGAGCACCCAGACCCUCCUCUGGAUAACGUGGCGAAUCAAUGAAAGGCAUCAUAUUGGAAUUUUCUUAGAAGCCAUCACCGUUUUGUAUUAGCAGAAAAUCCGUGAUGAAGAUGUGUAUCUCAAAAAUAUUUACACUUUAUUAAAUUAAGCUGUCUGAAUCACAGCCUCCUCCGGUGUGCUUUCAUCAAAGGCAGCACACAGGAACACACACUGAAGGACUCCAGGCUCAGUCUGCAGGGUCCUGGUGGGCUGAAAACAGAAUUAUCAGUGAGACACACCAGCAUAUCCCAACCACACCAUUACUUACCCAGAAGUCUACAACCUUGAAAUGUUGUGGGGGCCAGGAGAUCAUUCUAAAGAUCAUUUUUCUGUGUAUCAGCUUCAUGUUUCCAUGUAAUUCUACAGACAUCAGCUAGAUGCUUUUUUUUUACAUUUUUGUAAUGUUUUUGUUUGCAUGUGAGGAUUGUACUUUGCUGUUAUCUCUGCAAUGGUCGGCCGUUCGCACUUUCUUCUCAGACUGAAGCCGAUCAUGAACAAUUAAAUGGGCUAUUAGUUAAUUUAUGACUUUUAUUGAUUUUGCAAUUACGUGGAACCGAGAAUGUCAACCAUGCAUAGGAGGGGACAAUGUAUUGGCGAACUCCUACAAAUGAGUUUGUGCUGAAAAGUCUGAUUAUUGAUUCUGUAGUCAGGGACCCUUGAUAAUUAUUGGAGUCGUGCUUUC